UCGAAAGCACAAAAGUCAACGAAAGCAACAAUAUCUGAGUACAGACAUAAGUUAAACAAGUUUGCCUUAAGAAGGCUAGCACAAAAGUAGCAAUGAUCGAAAAGGAGAGGCCUCCUGUCUGGGACCUCCUAACUACUCCUCAAAUCCGAACUCCAUGUAGAAUCAUCCUCGGGAUCCUCUGGCUCCUGGGCUCCAUCAUAUGAUCGCAAUAACUGGGAAAGGGAGAAAAAGAAGUAGCAAAACAACCGUGAGUACUCAUCCAAAGUACUCGCAAGCAAGGAUCUACACUACAUAUGCAUUGGUAUCAAUGAAAGGGGUAGUAUAUGUGGACUGAACUGCAGAAUGCCAGAAUAAGAGGGGGAUAGCUAGUCCUAUCGAAGACUACGCUUUUGGUAGCCUCCAUCUUGAAAUAGUAGAAGAGAGUAGAUGGUAAGUUAACCAAGUAUCACCGCAUAGCAUACUCCUACCCGGUGAUCCUCUCCUCGUCGCCCUGUUAGAGAGCGAUCACUGAUUGUAUCUGGCACUUGAAAGGGUGUGUUUUAUUAAGUAUCCGGUUCUAGUUGUCAUAAGGUCAAGGUACAACUCCGGGUCAUCCUUUUACCGAGGGACACGACUAUUCGAAUAGAUAAACUUCCCUGUAGGGGUGCACCACAUUUCCCAACACGCUCAAUCCCCUUUGGCCGGGCACACUUUCCUAAGUCAUGCCCAGCCUUGGAAGAUCAACACGUCACAGCCCCACCUAGGCACAACAGAGAGGUCAGCACGCCGGUCUAAAUCCUAAGCGCGCAGGGGUCUGGGCCCAUCGCCCAUUGCACACCUGCAUGUUGCAUACGCGGCCGAUGAGCAUACCUAGCAACCUCCAUUACAAAGAAAGUUGUGUUACGCGGUCCAACCUGGCGAGCGUCGCCCAGUCGCUGACGUCACAAAGGCUUCGGCUGAUACCACGACGUCGAGUGCCCAUAACUGUUCCCCCGUAGUUUGUUAGUGCGUAUAGGCCAGUGGCCAGACUCGGAUCAAAUACCAAGAUCUCGUUAAGCGUGUUAUCUUGAAGUUACCACGAACGUCGACCAGGGCCAGGCCCACCUCUCUCCUGGGUGGUCUCAAUCUGCCCUGUCGCUCCGCCACAAAGAUCCACCCAGAGGGUCGUCAGGACAAAGGUCCUUUCAGCCCCCAAUCCGUGAAUCACUCGCGGGUACUCUUCGAGCUGACCCGUCUUUAGUCAUCACAUGUAUCAUGUAUAAGAUAUAUAACAUAUACCCAUGAUCACCUCCCUAGUGAUCAAGGCCCGAUAGUAUAGCAUGGUAGACGGACAAGAAUGUAGGGUCAUUGAUGAUAAACUAGCAUCCUAUACUAGGCAUUUAGGAUUGCAGGUAAGGGUAACAACUGUAGCAACAAUGACAGGCUAUGCAGCAGAAUAGGAUUAACCGAAAGCAGUAACAUGCUACACUACUCUAAUGCAAGCAGUAGAGAGAAGGAAUAGGCGAUAUCUGGUGAUCAAGGGGGGGGGGCUUGCCUGGUUGCUCUGGCAAGGAAGGGUCGUCAACACCGUAGUCGAACUGGGGUCGCCGGCAGUCUCGGGGUCUACCGGAAGGAAAGUAAGGGAGGGGGAACACAAUAAAUAACAGAGCAAUCAAAGCAUCACAAAGCGUAACAUGGCAAUACACGAUACUAGAGGUGACCUAACGCAGUAGGAGGGGAUACCGGCGAAGGGGGGAAACAUUCGGGAAAGUAUCCUCGGUGUUUCAUGUUUUCGGGCAAAUGAACCGGAUGGGGAAAGUUGCGUGUUCGCUAUGCUAGGGAUGUGUGAUGGACGAACAGGUUGUGUAUCCAGAUUUGUCUCGUCGUUCUGAACAACUUUCAUGUAGAAAACAUUUUCAUCCGAGCUACGGUUAUUUUAUAUGAUUUUUCAAAGAUUUAAACACUAUUUCGGAAUUUUGUAUUUAUUUUUAAUCCGAAUUGACCAAGUCAAAUUUGACUGGUCAAAUGGGGAGGUGUGGCCCACAUGGCAUUGACUAAGCCUAAACAAAUAAAUAAAAUCUAACUUAGUUAAAAGGGGGCCACAUGUCAUCUACACAUUUGACUAGUAAACAAAUAAGCUAACCUAAUCUAACUAAUUAGGGCCGGCCCCAUACACACCUACGCACACAAAACACACACGCACACCACAUAGCACAUGGCCAACAACAACGUAGUGCAGCACGAGGGUAGAGCAAUAGCAGCGGCAACUAUCAAGGGCAGCGGCAGCACAAGGCAGCAAAUAACAGCAGUACGGUGGCAGCAGCAGAGCAGCGACCUGUAGUGGCGCAAGCAGCAAGCAGGGCCGUGGGCACGGCCAUGGAGUGGUGGGGCGCUGGCGUGUGCACUGACAGAGGCAAGCAAGGGCGUGGGCUGGGUAUGCAGGGACUCGCAGUGAGCACGGCCAGCGGUGGGUGAGCGCAGCCAGCGGAAGCGGGCGCGUACGGAGCAGGGCCACGGGCGCGGCCAAGCGAGCUCGGGACGACGACUACAACCCAGAUCGAGCAAGGGAACAGGGGGAAUCGGUGGAGGGCCUCACCGUGGGUCCGACAGCGUGCUCGGGGAGGCCAGGGAUGGGCCGGAGAGGCGGUGGUGACGGCGAGACGGCGACGAUGUGCGGCGGCCGGACGAAGGAGAUGUAGAUGGCGUCGGCUCGAGGGCGUCCUGGCUUGAGCUAGACCCCGGGGCGGACAAAUCCAGCCAUGGCGAACCUCUUGGACAUGCUCCCGCACGCCGGAGACGACGGUGGUCGCGACGCUGGCGGAGAGGGAGUGGUGAUUGCGAGUUUUCGAGCUCGAAAACUAGCAGAAUAGGAGGAGGGCGAUGGGGGAUCUAGG
rnacentral:lncRNA from 1 species